rnacentral:rRNA from 1 species
GACGAACGCUGGCGGCGUGCUUAACACAUGCAAGUCGAACGGAAAGGCCCUGCUUUUGCGGGUUGCUCGAUUGGCGAACGGGUGAGUAACACGUGAGUAACCUGCCCCUGACUUUGGGAUAACUUCAGGAAACUGGGGCUAAUACCGGAUAGGAGCUCCUGCUGCAUGGUGGGGGUUGGAAAGUUUCGGCGGUUGGGGAUGGUCUCGCGGCUUAUUAGCUUGUUUGUGGGGUAGUGGCGUACCAAGGCUUUGACGGGUAGCCGGCCUGAGAGGGUGAACGGGCACAUUGGGACUGAGGUACGGACCAGAAUCCUACGGGCGGCAGCAGUGGGGAGUAUUGCACAAUGGGCGGAAGCCUGAUGCAGCAACGCCGCGUGCGGGAUGACGGCCUUCGGGUUGUAAACCGCUUUCGCCUGUGACGAAGCGUGAGUGACGGUACUGGGUAAAGAAGCACCGGCUAACUACGUG